UUGACGAGAUCAGUGAGUUAACCCUGCCCGGUUAUCCAUUGUUUCAUCAACUAUGUUCGCUAGUUUUCAUCAGUUCCUUGGAUCAACAGUAGAUGAUUCAAUCUUUGACCAAGCCCGUAGGCUUGUUAGCAUCCAAAUAUCUCCUGAAGCACCUACCCCGGUGAAUGUUGAACAUGAGCCAUCUUCGUUCUCUUUCAGUACCCCUUCAAACCCAGUGACUCAAAUCAAGGAAAACGAGCGUAGCCAGCAAUGCGAAGAGGAAUGCCCUUCGUUGUUCACCCCCAACGGCACGCAUUACUGGAUGCCGUAUUGCUCACCCCACCUUAGGCCACAACUGACUGCCGUGUUCUAGAAAUGGCAUGACGUAGUUGAGAUGUAUGAUAAGUAUGCUAAGAAGUUCGGGUUUUCGAUUAGGAUCGGUUCCGUUAAGAGGAAGCAUGGAGCCAUCACGCAUCGUUACCUUUUGUGCGUGAACCAUGGAAAACCCCAACUGAAAAGGAAGUUUGACGCGUUGGAUGACACUUCUUUAAAGAUUAGGCAGUCCACGUUCCGUGUUUGCGAUUGCAAAGCUUGUAUCCGUGUCAAGUUUCUUCAGCCCUUGCAAACAUGGGUGUUGUACCACUUUGAAGAGCAUCACAAUCAUCCGAUGGUUCCCUGCUAUAAUAGAGAUAUCACAAAAAAGGACGGAGACUAGACUUCAUCCACCGUGUUAGUCUUAACAAGGUGGGACCAUCGGUGGCCCACAAACUGCAAGUAAGUUUGAAGGGCGGUCAUCACAAUGUUAAGGGCACGGCAGGAGAUUACAAGAAUUUUUCGCGGAGUCUUCGCAUGUUUAUCGGCGACAGGGAUGCGCAACUAGUCAUUGACAAGAUGGCAUUUGCCUAAUUACACUUUCAAAUACAACGUGGAGAAUGGGGAGCUACGCCACAUGUUCUAGGCGGACGACAUUUCUAAGCUAAACUACCAAGCAUUUGGUGAUGUUAUUGCGUUCGUCGCCACAUACCGAACAAACACGUACAAUCUUAUUUUCGUCCCCUUUAUCGGAGUGGACAACAACAAAAGGUGCGUGACAUUUUGAGCGGGGCUUUUGUUUUGCGAGACCAUAGAGGCUUACACUUGGUUGCUUACGGCAUUCCUUGAAGUGCACCACAAUCAUCCUACUCUUGUCUUAACUGACCAAGACCCGGCUAUGGGCAAGCUGUCAGUGUUGUUUUCCCGGGUUCACUUCAUCGACUGUGCAUGUGUCACAUAACGAAGAAGCUGCCCUCAAAGAUUGCAGGUGAUGUCGAAGACAACACCGAAGUCAGAGCAGCCUUGCAUAAACUUGUGUGGAACAUUUACAUAAAACCUGAAACAUUCGAGCGUAGGUGGGCGAAGCUUUUAGAAAAGUACGGCCUAGAAAAUCACGAUUGGCUGAGAGAUAUGUUCAACAUUAAGGAGAUGUGGGUUCCAGCAUACUUCAGAUAAAUCUCGAUGUCAUGCCUCAUGAAAACUACUUCCCGCUGCGAGAGUUCUAACGCUAUGUUCAAGGUUAAUUCUUCCUGGGUGAAUACGUUAGUCCAGUUUCUGUUGUGUUACGAUGCAACUGUCGAAUCACAGGCAUACAAUCAGAGGGUUGCCGACCGUGUACACAAAUUGAAAAGGGGUCUGGAAAUAGAGAAGCAAUGCGCAAUGUUGUAUUCCCCCUAGCUUUCUCGUGGUCCGUAAGGAGAUAUACAAGGGAAUGACGUUCUGCUACAUCACAACAGUUGAAGAAGAUGAUGCCAUCAAGACCUACACUGUAACCCACCUGGAUAAGCUGACCGAAGUCGUGAACAAUUUUACGUCACACGCAGGUGGAUGAAGUACCGACGAAGUACAUGGUCAUUCGUUGGGGCCGUCAUGUGCUUCCAAAAUCAGUUUUCUGUGUUGAACACAGGUUUGGGGUCGAUCUGUCCCCCCUCGUAGUGAGUAGGAACAAGCUGGUUGAAUGUUUCACCACGGCACUGGAUGAGAUGUUGGGCGACUGAUGGAGGUUUUUUUUGGAGAAACCCUAGGCACUAAAGAAAGAAAUCAUAGAUGAUUGUCAGGCCAGAGUGACUGUGGACAGGACGGACACCGAAGACAUAGCUAGUAUGUUGGGAGGUGUCGUCGAAGUUGACGUUUCUUGCUCGAACCCCCGAGGCGUGCCUAAUAAAGGAUGUGGGACCAACAAGUGUCUCAUUGGACCAGGAGAGAAGGCUGUCCAGAAUAAAAAGAAGCACCCCUGACUCUGCAACACUUGCUACCAGUAUGUAACUGGUCACGACUCGCGAAACUGUCCGCAAAAGUAGAAGCAAGCAGAACCUUAGUGCGGGGUUGAUCUGUGUUGGGGGUCGUGGGUUGUUUUUUGUGAGUGCAUAUGUCUAUCGCUUCCGUCAAUCACGUAUCAUAGCAAACAGAUGAGACAAGACAAGGUUAAGAAGUGUUUAAACAUUUACAAGCUAAUCCGCACGAACCCAUGCAUGCUUGGUCCGCACGGAUGGACAUGCAUGUUAAUCCGCACGAAUGUGAGUGAAACUAGGGUUUGUGGCAUUUGUUGAUCCGCGCAAUCCAGUUCUGCACCUAGCUAGUCCAUCCGCAUAUAGUUGUUGAUUCGCGCAUAAUGUUCAUCCGUGAUUAUAUGUUUGGUGCGGAUCAAGGGUCUCUAUAUAUAGAAGUGUUACGUCUUGUUCAUUGGUACAACUUUGGACUUUGAGUAGAGAAGCUCUAUCCAAUUGAUUUCUUGGUUGUGUACUUUCAAAUCGUUAAUAGAAAUCAGUUUAUAAUUA